rnacentral:rRNA from 1 species
CUGGCGGCAUGCCUUAACAUGCAAUCCCCUAACGGCAGCGCGGAACUUCGGUCUGGCUUCCCAGUGGCGAACGGGUGAGUAAUACAUCGGAACGUGCCCUGUUGUGGGGGAUAACUAGUCCAAAGAUUAGCUAAUACCGCAUACGACCUGAGGGUGAAAGCGGGGGACCGUAAGGCCUCGCGCAAUAGGAGCGGCCGAUGUCUGAUUAGCUAGUUGGUGGGGUAAAGGCCUACCAAGGCGACGAUCAGUAGCUGGUCUGAGAGGACGAUCAGCCACACUGGGACUGAGACACGGCCCAGACUCCUACGGGAGGCAGCAGUGGGGAAUUUUGGACAAUGGGGGCAACCCUGAUCCAGCAAUGCCGCGUGUGUGAAGAAGGCCUUCGGGUUGUAAAGCACUUUUGUCCGGAAAGAAAUUGCGCUGGCUAAUACCCGGCGUAGAUGACGGUACCGGAAGAAUAAGCACCGGCUAACUACGUGCCAGCAGCCGCGGUAAUACGUAGGGUGCGAGCGUUAAUCGGAAUUACUGGGCGUAAAGCGUGCGCAGGCGGUUUUGUAAGACAGGCGUGAAAUCCCCGGGCUCAACCUGGGAAUUGCGCUUGUGACUGCAAGGCUAGAGUGCGUCAGAGGGGGGUAGAAUUCCACGUGUAGCAAUGAAAUGCGUAAAGAUGUGGAGGAAUACCGAUGGCGAAGGCAGCCCCCCUGGGACGUGACUGAC